rnacentral:rRNA from 1 species
UUUGGUAGUUAUAGCGCCGGGGUCCCACCUCUUCCCAUCCCGAACAGAGAAGUUAAACCCGGUCGCGCCAAUGGUACUGCUUGCCGCGGGAGAGUAGGUAACUGCCAAAA